CACGUAGGGUGCGAGCGUUGUCCGGAAUUAUUGGGCGUAAAGAGCUCGUAGGCGGUGUGUCGCGUCGGCCGUGAAAACCUGCAGCUUAACUGUGGGCUUGCGGUCGAUACGGGCAUCACUGGAGUUCGGCAGGGGAGACUGGAAUUCCUGGUAUAGCGGUGAAAUGCGCAGAUAUCAGGAGGAACACCGGUGGCGAAGGCGGGUCUCUGGGCCGAUACUGACGCUGAGGAGCGAAAGCGUGGGGAGCGAACAGG
rnacentral:rRNA from 1 species